GACGAACGCUGGCGGCGUGCUUAACACAUGCAAGUCGAACGGACAGGCCCUGCUUUUGUGGGGUGCUCGAGUGGCGAACGGGUGAGUAACACGUGAGUAACCUGCCCUUGACUUUGGGAUAACUUCAGGAAACUGGGGCUAAUACCGGAUAGGAGCUCCUGCUGCAUGGUGGGGGUUGGAAAGUUUCGGCGGUUGGGGAUGGACUCGCGGCUUAUCAGCUUGUUGGUGGGGUAGUGGCUUACCAAGGCUUUGACGGGUAGCCGGCCUGAGAGGGUGACCGGCCACAUUGGGACUGAGAGACGGCCCAGUCGCCUACGGGAGGCAGCAGUGGGGAAUAUGGCACAAUGGGCGGAAGCCUGAUGCAGCAACGCCGCGUGCGUGAUGACGGCCUUCUGGUUGUAAACCGCUUUCGCCUGUGACGAAGCGGUAGUGACGGUAAUGGGUAAAGAAGCACCGGCUAACUACGUG
rnacentral:rRNA from 1 species